AGCGAACGCUGGCGGCGGGCUUAACACAUGCAGUCGAGCGGGCAUCCUUGUGGUGUCAGCGGCAGACGGGUGAGUAACGCGUGGGAACGUGCCCUUCGGUUCGGAAUAACUCAGGGAAACUUGAGCUAAUACCGGAUACGCCCUUUUGGGGAAAGGUUUACUGCCGAAGGAUCGGCCCGCGUCUGAUUAGCUGGUUGGUGAGGUUAUGGCUCACCAAGGCGACGAUCAGUAGCUGGUCUGAGAGGAUGAUCAGCCACACUGGGACUGAGACACGGCCCAGACUCCUACGGGAGGCAGCAGUGGGGAAUAUUGGACAAUGGGGGCAACCCUGAUCCAGCCAUGCCGCGUGAGUGAUGACGGCCUUAGGGUUGUAAAGCUCUUUUCUCCGGGACGAUAAUGACGGUACCAGAGGAAUAAGCCCCGGCUAACUUCGUGCCAGCCGCCGCGGUAAGAC
rnacentral:rRNA from 1 species